UACGAAGGGGGCUAGCGUUGCUCGGAAUUACUGGGCGUAAAGCGCACGUAGGCGGAUUGUUAAGUCGGGGGUGAAAUCCUGGAGCUCAACUCCAGAACUGCCUUCGAAACUGGCGAUCUUGAGUCCGGGAGAGGUGAGUGGAACUCCGAGUGUAGAGGUGAAAUUCGUAGAUAUUCGGAAGAACACCAGUGGCGAAGGCGACUCACUGGCCCGUUACUGACGCUGAGGCGCGAAAGCGUGGGGAGCAAACAGG
rnacentral:rRNA from 1 species